ensembl:snoRNA
ACCAUGUUGUGGUUCACGAGCGUGAUAAUUCAGUUUUUACGCUCGUGUUUGAGACAUGCCUCCUUCAAAUCUUGUUAUCAUGUCAGCACAUUAUCCAUCUGAUG